rnacentral:rRNA from 1 species
AUACGGAGGACGCGAGCGUUAUCCGGAUUCAUUGGGUUUAAAGGGUGCGCAGGCGGCCGUGCAAGUCAGCGGUGAAAGCCCGGGGCUCAACCCCGGAAGUGCCGUUGAUACUGCAUGGCUGGAAUGCGGUCGAGGCGGGCGGAACGUGGCGUGUAGCGGUGAAAAGCGGAGAUAUGCCACAGAACGCCGAUAGCGGAGGCAGCUCGCCAGGCCUGCAUUGACGCUCGGGCACGAAAGCGUAGGGAUCGAACAGGAUUAGAUACCCUGGUAGUCCACGCCGUAAACGAUGGGCGCUCGUCGUCGGCGACAGACAGUCGGCGGCCAAGCGAAAGCGAUAAGCGCCCCACCUGGGGAGUACGGUCGCAAGGCUGAAACUCAAAUGAAUUGACGGGG